rnacentral:rRNA from 1 species
GAUGAACGCGGGCGGCGUGCCUAAUACAUGCAAGUAGAACGCUGAAGGAGGAGCUUGCUCUUCUGGAAGAGUUGCGAACGGGUGAGUAACGCGUAGGUAACCUGCCUCUUAGCGGGGGAUAACUAUUGGAAACGAUAGCUAAUACCGCAUAAAAGUCGACAUUGCAUGAUGUUGACUUGAAAGGUGCAACUGCAUCACUAAGAGAUGGACCUGCGUUGUAUUAGCUAGUUGGUGAGGUAACGGCUCACCAAGGCGACGAUACAUAGCCGACCUGAGAGGGUGAUCGGCCACACUGGGACUGAGACACGGCCCAGACUCCUACGGGAGGCAGCAGUAGGGAAUCUUCGGCAAUGGGGGCAACCCUGACCGAGCAACGCCGCGUGAGUGAAGAAGGUUUUCGGAUCGUAAAGCUCUGUUGUAAGAGAAGAACGAGUGUGAGAGUGGAAAGUUCACGCUGUGACGGUAUCUUACCAGAAAGGGACGGCUAACUACGUGCCAGCAGCCGCGGUAAUACGUAGGUCCCGAGCGUUAUCCGGAUUUAUUGGGCGUAAAGCGAGCGCAGGCGGUUAGAUAAGUCUGAAGUUAAAGGCUGUGGCUUAACCAUAGUACGCUUUGGAAACUGUUUAACUUGAGUGCAGAAGGGGAGAGUGGAAUUCCAUGUGUAGCGGUGAAAUGCGUAGAUAUAUGGAGGAACACCGGUGGCGAAAGCGGCUCUCUGGUCUGUAACUGACGCUGAGGCUCGAAAGCGUGGGGAGCAAACAGG